ACCUGCACCAAGAGAAAAGAAUAUGAUCAAAUUGUAUUCCGAAGAAAUGGGCCUUCUUACACACAUAAGCAGUUGAAAUUAAGAAUAUUCUGUGAGGCCUACAGUUUCCUCUCUAUGGUUGGCGCUUGUCUCUUUUCUCAAUGAGGUAAAUUAGGUACGUGAUAAAUUGGGGGUCCACCAGGGAAACGGGGUGACGGUGGAGAUUUCUUAUAUGGUGUUGGUGGCGCUAGUGGCGUGGUAUGGUUGUUCUCAGGAGGAGGAGGUGGAGAUUUCUUAUAUGGUGUUGGUGGCGCUAGUGGCGUGGUAUGGUUGUUCUCAGGAGGAGGAGGUGGAGAUUUCUUAUAUGGUGUUGGUGGCGCUGGUGGCGUGGUAUGUUUUUUCUGAGGAGGAAGAGGAAAAUAUCGACGAGAUGGUGGCGAUUUGUAGUGAAGCCGUGAAGGUGGAGAAAAGCGGCGUGGAAAUGGGUGAGGGAAGCGUGGAGAGGAGUAACGCAAGUAUGCUGAGGUGUUGGGCAGCAAACUUAGAAAGACAACCACUAUGAAGAGAGAAGUGGUAAAGGAGGCCAUGGAGAUGGAGUCUUCCUUCCCCGUUUUGCUUCCCAUUUUCACAAGCAAAGUGCUAAUGUGUUGGACUGGUUGUGCUCCUAAGCUUUUCUUCUAAAGCCUUUUUAUACACAAGUUUUUUUUUUUUUUUUUUUUUUUGUGGAAAUUAACAACCAUCCUGCAUUAGUCUUGCGUCUUAGACACUCUUAAAGUCGUUUUUUGAUUUUUCAUUCAAGGAGAAAUCUUGGGUCUGCACCGUCAAAGAAGGCGGUUUACUUAUUGUUUGAUGUUGGCUGGCUGUAGAAUAGAAAAUUUUGAAGAAGAAAGAAAGAAUUUUGAAGUUUCACCGCUCCUUUAAAUUUCACGACAUGAAAUAAUUUUGUUUUAUUGGCAGGAGUUUCUUCUAUUUUCUGUGAAAACAAGAUGAUUUUCUGAAGUACUAGAAAUUAGGAAAUGGUGUAAAACCAAUGUAGACCAGAAAUUUAGUGGGGGAUGCGACACAUCAGAGUCUUUCCACUCGGCAAAGUCUCCAGCAGUUACAAUCAAAUUAUGUGGAAAAGAAGAAAAUUUUGAGAUGACUGGUUCUGCAGGCAUAGAGAAAGCACGAAAUUGAGCACUUCCAUAAGUACCAAUCGUAUUUCCUAGAAUUCCAAACCUUGAAAAGAUAUUCUCCUUUAUGAAUUUCAGUACCACCUUAUGAUCAUUUGUCUCACAUGCAGCAACCUCUACCCCCAUUUAGAAAUGUAGUCUACCCCCACAAAAAUGUAUGGAUUCCCAAAGAUAGGGAAAAGGCCUCAUAAAGUCCAAGUCCCUAACAGUUGAGCACUCCAUUAAAUUGCAACAAAUAUUAUUUCAAAAUAAUAUUGUGAUAUUUGAUUAUAAUAUGUCUAAUUUUAAAAUAUAUUUAAUAUUAAAAUUAUGAUCUUUUUAAUUCAAUUGUAUUAAAUGAUAUAAAAUAAAUUGUGAUAUAUGUAUAAUUUUUUAAUAUUUAAUUAAUCUAUUAAUGAUGUUAAAAACACUAUGAACAAAAUUAUCAUGAUAAUUUUUAUAUUUUUGGUAAUCAAUUAAAUGAAAAAAAUUUCAUUUAAUUAUAAAAUAAUUAUAAUUAAUUUGUUCUCUAAAAUAUUCUUUCAAUAUUUUAUUUACAUGAUGACUUUGAAUAUAAAUAUGUUUGGUGCAAUACAUUUAACAAGGGACAUACUUGCCCUAGUGGUAGGCCAUGGUUCAGGUAAGUCUCUUGUUUGGGGUUCAAGUCUCCUUAAUAAGCUUUCACUAUACCUGUUUACCUGGUUUAGACAACAUUUGUAUAUUUGUGCUCCUUAUAACCUGGUUUGGACAACAUUUGUAGCGAUACAAGUGAUCAUCCUAGAUGGAAUUCUUGGCCCUCGACAAAAAAUACCUCUUCUCAUAUUGAACACUUGAAGUACUAAUAUCCACCGUAGGUCUUGCCUUUGCAUCCUUCUGGUUGAGUAAAUACAUUGGGGUUCAAUGGUCUAUGAAUAAUAGAAUGGCAGUAUGCAAUAGAUAGUUUCUAAACUUGUCAAAUGUGAACACCAUAGCAAGCAACUCUUUCUUGAUAGUUGUGUAAGCUCUUUGAGCUUCAUUAAGGGUCUUGUUAGCAUAGUAGAUGACAUAUGACUUUCCUUCCUCUCCAAGCCUAGCAUUACUCAUAACAUCCAUAUGCUUGUUCCUUAUAUCUCCUUACUUUAUAUAAAAGUACGAAAUGUUUUUACAAUUUUUUUUCUAAAAAUAACCUUAUCAUUUCUAUUUUAUGUGCUUAUAUCCUAAUAUUAUUAUAUAUAAUUAAUUCAAAUAAUGUUUCUAGAUAACCUAUAAAAAUACUUUUAUGACUUAAAAAAAUGUUUAGCAAACUUUUCAUAGAAAACAACUUUUUUUUUGAGAAUUUAUUAUGAAAACAAGUAUUUUAAAGAACAAAUUUAAGGUGCUUUCAAUUAUUUUUUGUAAAGUAUUCCAGACAAUAAUUGAAAAUGUGAAAAUUACUUUUCAAACUUGUGCAUUGUAAAUUAGUGUAUAGUAACUUGAUGGAGAAUAAGGUAAUAAAACUAAUUUUCAUAUUUGAAUUCUCAAAACUUUGUUCUUGGUUUUCAAAAACAUUAUCAACUAUAUCCAAUUGGUACUAAUUGAUUUGGUUUUUGUGUUUCAAAUUACUUUUAAAUAAAUCCAACAUAUUAAGUCUUAUUUGUUUAGAGUCUAAAAAAUUUUGCAUAGAGUAAAUUGUGGAGAGCCAAAGUACUCAUUAGAGAAUGGUUUUGUUUUCUAAAUUUGGUUAUAUUUCUUCAUGUUUCCUUUUUACUCUAUAAGCACAACCAAAAACUUGUUCUCUCAAAGUUCAUAUCUUUUUUUUUUUAAUUUUAAAAUACUGUUUCUAGAUGAAAAAAAAAAAAAACAUAAAGACAAUUUUAGUUCUCGAAAAAUUUGAGGGAAAAUGUGAGAGAAAGAAAAUAAAGAGGAAAAGUGAAAGGAAAGAUUAUUUUUAUAUGUUUCUUCAAAUUUAAGAUUAAAUAUUCUUUAAAUAUAUGAAUUUCUAACUAAUUUUAAUUACAUUUUAUUUUCUUUCAUAUUUUUCAUGGUGAAACCAAAUUUUAAAGCUGAAUCAAAUUGAACCAUACUCAGUUCAACUAAAACAACAUUAAAAAAAACUUCAUCCUUCUUUAUUUUCCUAUAUUUUCUCCAAACAGAAGGCAAAGUCAAACAUAAAUUAAAUUCCCCAACCACCCAUCAACAAAACAACUAGUUCCACAAAAAUCCCAACAACUUCCUAAGAAAUUCCCCAAGCACCUAUCAUAAAAACACCCAAUUGAAGAAAAAACCCUAACAAAUUCCAAAUAAAUUUCUCUACAAAAGGUGAGGAAAAAAAACAUGAAUAAGACUCAUUGUGAGAGGAUGACACAGGAAUAAACCCUAAAAGGUCGGAGUUUGGUAGGAAAUCAAGGCCAUUAGUGGGAAUCCAUGGUGUCUCUACAACCUGAGGAAAUACAGUUGUUGAAAUCAGAGGUGAGAACUAAUAAAUAGUCCAUGUAAACCAUUGAUUUUCCUAUCGUUUUCAUUUUGACUCCCUUUCCAAUGGUUAUGAUUUGAAGAGAAAGAGGUUUCGUACUUCCUUCUCGCCAACACGAUGUUAAUGCUGUAGACAACAAACUUCAUGUAAAGAUGGAAAAAUGGUUAGGCCACUUUCUCCAAGACAUGAGGGUUAGGGUUCCACUAAGUAAGCCUGUUUCGUGGGGUUAGGUCUCCACCAGAGAACAUAUGUUGAUUCAUUUUGGUUUUCAUUUUAAUAAUUUUUUAAUUUUUUAAUUUUGUUUUAUUAUGGUUAUAAGUUGGAAAUUAUGUUUUAUUUUGGUUUAACAUGUAUUAUUAUGUUUUAAAAGGUUAAUUAUGUUUCAAUAAGUUUCUAAGGUGGUGAUUUUAUUUUAUUAAGGUUAUAAGUUAUGAUUCCCAUAGAUCUCUCCCUUUUUGAUAUUUCUCAAGCCUUUUUUUUCUCAUCUUUAUUUGCUUAAAAAAAUUCUUUAAUUAUCUCUCAGGCUACUAGUUUCUGAGGUUUUUUCCAAUUAUUUUGUUUCAUUUCAUUUCAAUUGAUAUGAAAACCCAAUCUAGGAUAGUUUGGGUGUAGAUGAUGAUCACAAAACCAUCACCUUCAUAAACCAGAAAUCUCACUGCCCCUUGUAGUUGUGUUGGCUUUCACUGUUUAAACCAUGGACAUUUUUUUUUCUCCUCUUGUUGUAGCUUGUCAAUUUUCCCCUAAUUUAUUCUUGUUUGAGCUUAGAAAAAUAAAAAAUAAAAAUUGAGAAUUGAACUAUAAAAAUUUAAAAAAAGAACAGAAAAAAAAUGAUAAAAAGAAGAAAGAGGGAAAAAACCUUUCUUGCUUUUAUUCUUGAGCUGUUAUUGCUAGAUAUUGCAGAAACAUACAAUUUCAUAUUGAUGCACAUAGAUGGAUAUUGCAAAAGCAUAUGAUUUCAAAUUAUACCUAUUUCAUGUUUGAAACAAAUUUUUGUAAGUUGGGGUGUUUACUUGGUUGUAAAUAAAUUCAUAUGUUUCUUCUGACAGCUCUGUUUACUAAUAUUUAUAAUAUUACUGAGUAUCUCUGUAUUUUGUUCUCUUUGGUAAAACUGUUUGUGUUUGACCUUUACUUCUAUGUCAAUUUUCUUUCUUAAAGGGGAAGGUGAAUAUCGAAGCUAAGGCUGGGGUGAAAUUGGAAAUACCCAAUGGAGCUGUAGUUGCAAACAAGGUAACGUUGCUGGAAACCAGGUCCUUCAUUUUAACCAGAGGUUAUCGUUUUAUCUGCGCUCACUAUAUUAUUAUGAUUUUCAGGUGAUCAAUGGUCCUCAGGACAUCUAAGGAAACUGUUUGUCUUAAAUUUGUCUUGGAGAGUGUACACAUCUAAAAACACUGUAACGGGUCCUAUUUUGAUCGUGCACAUUAAGUAUUUGAUAGAAUAAGAGGACCAUUUUGUUUGCAAUGACACUCUUAUUUGAAAUAUUGCAAGUUUUAAUGGCUACCUUUCUGCUGACGGGGAAAUGUUUUGUGAGAAUGGUGGAACUCCACCAGUAAUUAGAUGAAGUCCAGUGAAACAAAACUAAAUAUGGAAUGGUGGUGCCUUUAAAUGAGAUGUGUGGGUCUUGCUGGACUGAAAGCAUUGAUUUUGAGAAGGUGCCCGGGUGGGCUGUUAGCCCCGUGUUCCUUCUGACUAGGCCACUGGAUAUCUUUGGGUCUUUUUUUUGUGGAGCUCAGCCUGCUUGUUCUCGGGAGCUACCUAACAGAUUGUGUUUAUUUAGCCUUAUUAAAUGGUCUUGUCUUGACCUAAGUCAUCUAACAUUUUCAUAAAAAAAAACAACUAAUAGGUUGUUCGGGUAAACAAUGUAUUAAAGUUUGACUCACAUGACACAUUGACCUUACCGAAGACCCAGUAAACCAGCUCAAAGGUGUUAAAUUGUGGAGAUGGAAUAAGGAAUCAACGGCAAGGUCAUGGGGAACUACCAAACAUUGAAUGUGACAACCAACAAAAGGAAAGGACUCACAAAUGGAAGGUAAAAGGUGUAGAUCAAGUUGGUGGCACAGAGGACUAACAAUAUGUUAAAGUAUAUUUUUUUGUUAGUGAAUUUUUUUAUGAAAUAUCUAAAUCUUAUAUUUGUCAUAGUGUUUCUUUACCAUGGUUGAAAAAAUAACUCCUUCAACUUGCAUUAUUUUCAUCCUUUAAACCCGAGAUUUAACACAAGAUAAAAGUUAAAUCCAUAACUAAGAUCUUAGCAUCAAUUUGAAUUAUGUUCAAUGAUUUGAGUUUUUAAAAUUACAUAAGUCAUAUCAUACGUGUCAUUAGAGCACAUAUUCGACUCCAAUAAAUUUUCAGUUCUAUUUUUUUUUUUUUUUUUUUGAGUUCUUAUUAAGUGUUUGACAGAAUCAUUAAAUUUAUUAUUCAAAUGUUUUUUUAAAUAGUUUUGGUUUUGUUAAUUAAAGUCACUAAUAUGUUGGGCUCUAGAGUUUUGCAUAUGACUUGAUUGUGAUGCCCUUAGCCUUCGGGUUUUAGGGUGUUGCAGAAUGGAUAGGGCCCUAUAGACUUAUUUAUUUAGUUAGGAAUGAGUUAGAAAAAGUGACCAACCAUAUGUAAUUUCAUUUCUUCCCAUAAACAACUUUUCCUAAUAUAUAUAUAUGGACUCCAUUACUUUUACAUAAAUAUGAUUGUUUUUAAUGAUUUUUUUUAUAUGAUUUACUUAUUUUCUACAAUUGAGUUAUUUGAUUUCAUGAUGAAUAAAUAUAGUAGUGUAAAAGUCAAACGACUUAGCAAAUUUGAGGAUGAAAUUUUUAUAAGGAGCCAAGUACGUAACAUCCCUCCCUUGAUUUUGAUUUUAAGGAUAUUUUAUGCAUUUUGGAAAUUUAAAAAGACCUACUUAACUUGAUUUAGAGAUAUUUAUGUAUUUUAAAAUUUUAAAAAGACUUACCUUGAUUUUAGGGAUAUUUUUGUAUUUAAAAAAAAAAUAUAAGUGAGAUAUUUUUGGUCCUGUAAACCAUCCACUAUCUCAUCAAUUAUCUUUAUCUUGUUAUGCUUUUUAUGUGUUAUCAAUUGCCAAAAUAAAGAGAAAAAAAAAAAAGUCUCCAAAGAACUUUGAUUCAAAAAGAGUUAAAAAGCAUAAUGUUUUAAUAUUUGUUUCGUUUUUACAAUUUAAAAGUGCGGAUUGAUUCUUUCAAGAAUUUGAGUGAUUUCCUCCCAAUUAGGGUUAAUAGUGCAACAAGUUAUUUUAUAAUUCCCUAUCUAUUUUUCAUCUGUUUUUUGGAAGUGUCAAAAAAUUUUUUUUCUUUAAAGUAUAUUUUGAUUUGCUCCUUAAUUUAUUAAAUAAAUUGGGAAUAUCAUAUUAUUUGUUUAUUGUUUGACAAGUAAAUUUUAUCGUUUGAUUUAUUAUAUAUGAUGAUUUUGAAACUUUGGUUAUUAGUGGCCUUGGUCAACAUGAAAUAAGUUGUUGACCUUCAUUACAACCCUAACCAAUCAGGGUGUUUUUGGCUUUUGGUAUAUCAUUAAUUGGAAACCGUUAUGUUUACUAGUAAGAGAAAUAUUUUGAGGCUAGCCACCUAGUGAAAGUCCCAAUAUUUUGGUAUAGUGUUAGUAGACCAGAAUAAAAUUUUUGUGAAAUUCUUUUGAAUAUGAGUUGAUCAUGUAAAAUGUAUUAUUUGGCUCUAUCUUUAAAUUGAAAGUGUUGAAGUUUUCAAAAAAGUGAAUUAAAUGAGCUUGCUUGCUAAUUGUUUUGCUAAUUAUAUUUGCUAAAGACGUGAUAUAUCCCAUGAUUUAAUUUUGUACUAUACUUGAUCCUUCUUAUUAAACUAUUUUUUCUUACUGAGUUGCCAAACUCACCCAUAUUUAUUAUUCAACUUUUCAAGAUCAAGUGAUAUCGGAGAGGAGGGAUUAGAAUGUUUUGAUCAUAAACUACUUUAGAUUUGAUUUUAGUUAGGAUUCUUGACUUAAGACUCUUUUCAGUUCUGUCUUUUUUUUUUUUUUUUUUGAAUUAUUAUUUAAGUGUUUGAUAGAAUCAUUAAAUUAAAUAGUUUAGGUUUUGUUGAUUAAAUUCAUUAAGAUGAUGGGCUCUAAAGUUUUGUAUGUGAUUUGAUCGUGAUGCCCUUGACAUUCUAGUUUUGGGAUGUGAUUUGACCGUGAUGCCCUUGACCUCCUAGUUUUGGGAUGUGACGAUGGUUUACUUAAAUUGUUCGUAAUUUGGUCAAAUGAUUCAUACAUAAAUCACAUUUUCACUUUAAUAUCUUAGUCAUAUAUUUUGUAUUUUGAUCAUAUUACUUGUAUCUAGGUGACCACUUGAAAUAUAUUUAAUGUUAAAAACUAAGAUGCAUGUUUAACUGAUUUGCUUAUUCUUUGAAGUGAUUCUUCUAUGUUAAUCAUGUAUUUUCAUUAAGACGUGUGAGACUUGCCAUUUUACUAGACUUGAUCGAGUAGUGAUAAGACAAAAAAACCUACAUGCAUCAAAACUAUUUUUGAAAAAUAUCUUUCUAUUCUCUAAAUUAGAAGUAGUUUUCUCACUUACAAAAUAUGUUUCACAAAUUUUUAGUUAAAACAGUUUAUAAUAAUAGGAUCUUUAAUCAUGAUUUUUUUUUUCUAGAAAAAAAUUAUCUGAAAAACGUUUCUUACAAAGACUUUUUUCGACGUAACAAUUUCUACCUUCCCACAUGGGUUAAACUCAGAUUUAAGGGGGCUUUUUAAAGGUGUCAUGACCAACUUUCUUUAUGCGUGUAGUAUACCAGUCGCCUCAAAUUUCUCUUCUUCGGAGCCGGAGACUUUGCCUUGUGGAAAGACUAAGAUGAGUGGCUUCCCCCACUAAAUGCUGGUCUACAGUGUCAGUAUCACCACCAAUUGCUACACCAUUUCCUACUUUACCGUGUGGAAAGACUCAGAUGAGUCGCUGCCCCCACUAAAUGCUGGUCUUCCCUGUCUUUAUCAUCACCAAUUUCUACACCAUUUCCAACUUUCCACGUAGGGCGGCUUCAGCUAAUAAAACAAAAUUAUUUGGUGAGUCUUAUGUUUGUUUCUUCUUCAAAGUCUUCUUUAACAUCAACCGACAAACAAAGCGCCUUCUUUGACGGUGCUGAUCCAAUAUUUUUUCCUUGAAUGAAAAACCAAAUAACAAUUUGUAGAGUGUCUAACACGCAAGACUGACGAUUCCAAAUAAAAAAAAACACUUAGCUGUGUUUGAAAAUGUUUUUUAAAAUUGUUUUUAAAAAUAAUUUAUAAAAAUUGUGAAUCAAUAUUUUAUAGAACAAAAUUCUGUUUGAAAAUUUAAAAUAUUUUAACAUGUCUUUAAAUAUAUUUUAAAAAUAUUUUUUUUUAUAUAUAUUACUUUAUUUUUUAUUAUUCUUUAUUGAUAUAAUUAUUUUUUAAAACAUUCCUUAAAAAAUAAGUGAAAAUAGUUGAAAAUAUUUAAAAGAUAUUCUUUGCAACAAAAAUUUAUUUUAUGUUGAUGAAUUUUAAAAUUUUCAAUUAUAUACAAAUUUAUUUAUCUUGAUGAAUAGAUUAAAAAGGAAAAAGAAUUACUUAGUUGAAAUAAAAUAUCAUCUCAAAAUAAAUUAUUUAAAAAAAUAUUGUCUUAAAGAAAAAAAUUAGAAAAAAAAAUUCAUGUAGAAGAUCAUAUGCUACAAUUUGGAAUAAAAAUAUAAUUAAUUUAUUAAUAUUACAAGAAAAUUAAAAUUUUGUUUAUAAGAAUCAAGAAUUGAACUAAUUAAAAAAUUGUAGGAGAGAGGUAAAUUGAGUUCCUAAAAUUUAAUUUUGCUCCCAAAAAUAGCAAAAUCACUUACAAAAUCAAUAAGAUGCUCUCAAAUUUUCAAACAACACUCCUAAAAGCAAUUAUUUUGCUCCAUAAAUUUGUAAUUUUGCUCCCAAGGGUGAAAUUAAAACAUUAUUGGUUGGUCAUGUUGCUUUGCAAUUUUAUUCUCAUUUAUUUGUACCUUAAAUCUUAUUGCUUUGUAACAUUAAUCUCUUGACUUUGUAACUUGAUCCCAUUGCAUUCUACCUUUGGUUAAAACUUGAUCCCAUUACUUUGUAAUUUGUAUCUAGAUUUUAUUACUUUGUACAUUCUCAUUAUUAUGUACCUUUGUUUCUACCAUUUUUUUUUUAUAUUGGAUCAUUAUUUAAUGAAAUGGCUAACAUAAUCCUAAAAAUGCUCCCAUGAGUACAAUUGUUCCAUAUUGGACCAUUUAAGCGAAUGGAGAAUGAAUGUUUUAUAAAUGAGUUCUUCGAGUCCUCUAUACUUGGUCUCAUUACUUGUCACUACUACAAAAAUCGAAAAUCAUAAUGCUUUAAUCCUUAGCACUUUCAAAAAGUAUCUAUAUGUUGGGAUAUACGGUGGCACUUAUCAGAAGUGUAAAUUGUUAUUGUAGUUUUUUUUAUUCCAUGACGUUUAUUAGAAGCAUCAUUAUUCGGUGUGACUUUUAUAAGUAUAACUGGGUAUACCAUGGCAUUUUAUGGCAACAUCAUGGUUGUGGUAUUUUACAUUAGUGACAUUGAAUAAUAGGUAUAUAUAUGUUUCAAAUAUAUAUAUUAAAUUUCUUUUGUCCCUCUCUAUGAGCACCUGCCAAAUUCCCUCAUCCAUUUCAAAACUCGAAAUAUUUGAAAACCGUGGAGCUCGUCACUGAAAUCAACUAUUGAACAACAACCGAAUGAUGAGUCGUUGAAGACUUACCACUACACCAUUAUCACAUAUCCCUCCUUUCAUUUUCCUAAACCUCGAAUUUGUUAAUCAAAGUUGGCACUAUUUCAAAGAGCUGAUAGGUUUCCCUAUAAGCAUUGACACUCACCCUAUAUUAGAGCAUUUUGAGGAGAAAUCAAUUAGUAUUUGUUAAGCAUAGGUAACCUAUGUGGUGAGAAACCUUUGCUUCAUCCAUUAUUAAGUCAUAGUUGAAAUGCCCCAAACAUUUGAAUCCACAUUGGUUGCCAUAAUCCAUUCCCCCUUGCAAACUCCAAUGAAAUGCCCUAACCCAUUGGAAUGAUCGUAACCAACUUCCAAGGGAGGUCACUGAUAGGCGGACGAGAAGGUCAGAAAGGAUUCCUAAGAAGAAUCCCAAGUUUUUAGCUUAAGUUAGACCAAGUCUAACCAAAGAGUUGUCAACCGUUUAAUUUAUUUUUUGCUUUUGUUUUGUAUUUUUGCACAUUCAAAUUUGUUACAAGGUAUUCCCUUGAGUUUAGGCUAGUUAGUUUCCGGAGUUGAAGCUGAUCAGUUAAACUUUACUCUAUUUAUUGAAACAUUAGCAAUGAAUAAAUGACAACAUAUUUAUCCUACAAACAAUUGUGGUUUAUCUUUCACCCAAAGAAAGUGAGUAUUUCUAUGAGUUAUUGUUGCUACCUGAUUGGGACCUAACAUUGGUAUCAGAGCAUCGCUACAAUGACAUCCAACAAAGAGAGGAUCGAGGGUUUGGAGACUGGGCUUGGUGGAGUUCAAGAUAGAAUACAACGAUUAGAGGAAAUCGUCAACAAGCGUGCUUCCAACUAAAGAAGCCUCUAGCAAUAACAACAAUGGGCGAGAAGGAUCCUUUUGUUCGGAUUGAGAGGAGAAUGAUGGUGGCAAACAAGUUUUUUCUUCCAAGAUGGCAAGGUUGGAAUUUCCAAAAUACUCCGGAGAAGAUCUAACUGAAUGGCUUAGUUGAGUAGCUCAAUUAUUUGAGUUUCAAGGCACAACAGACAACCAAAAGGUAACUCUAGCAUCUUUCCACCUUGAAGGAAAAGCUAACCAAUGGUGGCAAUGGUUGCGUCGAGCUUACUAAGAGGAAGACCGCUUGGUGACAUGGGAGUUCUUUGAGGAGGAACUAUGGGCUCAUUUUUUGGACCGACAAAGUGUGAAGAUUUUGAUGAAACUCUAUCCAAAGUUCAACAGGUCGGAUCCUUUCAUGAGUACUAAAAAGAGUUUAAAAGGCUAGGCAAUCGGGUUCAAGGUUGGACACAAAAGGCUCUUGUUGGCACUUUCAUGGGAGGGUUGAAAUCUAAAAUCACCAAUGGAAUUCGAAUGUUCUAGCAAGAAUGAAGGAUGAACAGAUCACAAGAACAAAAAGGUUCAUACGACCCGCACUAUAGAACCAUGUAUCUACCACCAUCACGCUAGAGAAUCGAACUAUCCUAACAGUGACACCCAAGCGAUUGAGUUGGGAUGAAAUGCAGAAACGGAGAGCACAAGGGCUUUGUUUCAACUGCAACGAUAGAUUCACCCCAAGUCACAAAUGCUAGGGACCUCAACUACUCCUUCUUGAGUGUCAAAGCAGCAAUCAAACCAAAUAAUAUGAGGUGGUGGACGAAAAGUUGCAAAUGGAAGAUACUCUAGGAGAUCAAGCCGAACUAGAAAUCUCAAUAAAUGCACUAACAGGUUGGGCAUCACCAAGAACCAUGUGAGUAGUAGCCACCAUUGGAUCUCAACAUGUGAUAGCGUUGAUCGACAGUGGAUCAACUCAUAAUUUUUCGAGCAAGAAAAUAGCCAGAUUUCUUCAAUUUCCAGUGGUGCCAACGAAAUCGUUUGUUGUCCGCGUAGCAAGUGGCGAACGACUACUCUGCCAGGGUCGCUUUGAGAAGGUGCAAAUGAAUUUGCAAGGUAUUACUUUUUCACUCACCCUCUAUUCUCUACCCAUAGCAGGACUUGAUAUGGUGUUAGGCAUCCAAUGGCUGGAGAUGCUAGGCUUUGUGGUCUACAAUUGGAAACAAUUAACCAUGGAAUUUCACUAGGGUAAUCAAGCACGAAGAUUUCAAGGAAUAAACCAGACCAUUCAAGCGACAUCAUUGGCAUCGGUUGCGAAAGAGAUGCACCAAGGCCAAAUGUUGUUUGCUAUCUACCUACAAACUGUCGAGAAGUCCAUUGGGACAGACACUAGUCUUUCCAUGCAACAGGCAUUGGAAGACUAUGCAGACGUGUUCAAAUAACCAACUACACUACCACCUUGAGGAAUAUCGAC
rnacentral:lncRNA from 1 species